rnacentral:ncRNA from 2 species
AAUUGAGGUAGAGGUUGCGAUUUUUAUUAAGCUUGUGGAGUGAGAGGCACGUCGAAGCAAGUCUAGGAAAAAUCGCCGAAAUGCAUAACAGCCUCCCUGUUAUGUGUUGGGACGUAAGCGAACAACUUACGGACUGUCUUAGUAGUGAUGCUAAGUUGCGCUAUGUUUUUG